rnacentral:rRNA from 1 species
UGCAAGUCGAACGAAGCACUUUAUUUGAUUUCCUUCGGGACUGAUUAUUUUGUGACUGAGUGGCGGACGGGUGAGUAACGCGUGGGUAACCUGCCUUGUACAGGGGGAUAACAGUUGGAAACGGCUGCUAAUACCGCAUAAGCGCACAACAUCGCAUGGUGCAGUGUGAAAAACUCCGGUGGUAUAAGAUGGACCCGCGUUGGAUUAGCUAGUUGGUGAGGUAACGGCCCACCAAGGCGACGAUCCAUAGCCGACCUGAGAGGGUGACCGGCCACAUUGGGACUGAGACACGGCCCAAACUCCUACGGGAGGCAGCAGUGGGGAAUAUUGCACAAUGGGGGAAACCCUGAUGCAGCGACGCCGCGUGAGCGAAGAAGUAUUUCGGUAUGUAAAGCUCUAUCAGCAGGGAAGAAAAUGACGGUACCUGACUAAGAAGCACCGGCUAAAUACGUGCCAGCAGCCGCGGUAAUACGUAUGGUGCAAGCGUUAUCCGGAUUUACUGGGUGUAAAGGGAGCGUAGACGGAUGGGCAAGUCUGAUGUGAAAACCCGGGGCUCAACCCCGGGACUGCAUUGGAAACUGUUCAUCUAGAGUGCUGGAGA